UACGGAGGGAGCUAGCGUUGUUCGGAAUUACUGGGCGUAAAGCGCGCGCAGGCGGCUCUUCAAGUCAGGGGUGAAAGCCCAGAGCUCAACUCUGGAACUGCCUUUGAGACUGAAGAGCUUGAGUACGGGAGAGGUGAGUGGAAUUCCCAGUGUAGAGGUGAAAUUCGUAGAUAUUGGGAAGAACACCGGUGGCGAAGGCGGCUCACUGGCCCGUUACUGACGCUCAGGCGCGACAGCGUGGGGAUCAAACAGG
rnacentral:rRNA from 1 species